AACGAACGCUGGCGGCAGGCCUAAAACAUGCAAGUCGAACGCCCCGCAAGGGGAGUGGCGCACGGGUGAGUAACGCGUGGGAACGUGCCCUUCAGUACGGGACAACGUCGGGAAACUGACGCAAAUACCGUAUAAUGACUACGGUCCAAAGAUUUAUCGCUGAAGGAGCGGCCCGCGUCUGAUUAGCUAGUUGGUGAGGUAAUGGCUCACCAAGGCUACGAUCAGUAGCAGGUCUGAGAGGAUGAUCUGCCACACUGGGACUGAGACACGGCCCAGACUCCUACGGGAGGCAGCAGUGGGGAAUCUUGGACAAUGGGGGCAACCCUGAUCCAGCCAUGCCGCGUGUGCGAUGAAGGCCCUCGGGUUGUAAAGCACUUUUGGCGGGGAAUACGAUGAAGGUACCCGCAGAAUAAGUCACGGCUAACUUCGUGCCAGCCGCCGCGGUAA
rnacentral:rRNA from 1 species